UGAAACAUCUAAGUACCUGGAGGAAGAGAAAGAAAAAUCGAUUUCCUGAGUAGCGGCGAGCGAAACGGAAAGAGCCCAAACCAAGAAGCUUGCUUCUUGGGGUUGUAGGACACUCUAUACGGAGUUACAAAAGAAAGUUAUAAAUGAAGCGGUCUGGAAAGGCCCGCCAAAGACGGUAACAGCCCGGUAGUUGAAAUGGCUUUCCCUCCAGAGUGGAUCCUGAGUACGGCGGAACACGUGAAAUUCCGUCGGAAUCCGGGAGGACCAUCUCCCAAGGCUAAAUACUCCCUAGUGACCGAUAGUGAACCAGUACCGUGAGGGAAAGGUGAAAAGCACCCCGGAAGGGGAGUGAAACAGUUCCUGAAACCGUGUGCCUACAAGUAGUUAGAGCCCGUUAAUGGGUGAUAGCGUGCCUUUUGUAGAAUGAACCGGCGAGUUACGAUUUGUUGCAAGGUUAAGCGGAAAAAGCGGAGCCGUAGCGAAAGCGAGUCUGAAUAGGGCGCAUAAGUAACAGGUCGUAGACCCGAAACCAGGUGAUCUACCCAUGUCCAGGAUGAAGGUAAGGUAAUACUUACUGGAGGUCCGAACCCACGCACGUUGAAAAGUGCGGGGAUGAGGUGUGGGUAGCGGAGAAAUUCCAAUCGAACUUGGAGAUAGCUGGUUCUCUCCGAAAUAGCUUUAGGGCUAGCCUCGAGGUAAAGAGUCAUGGAGGUAGAGCACUGUUUGGACUAGGGGCCCUUCUCGGGUUACCGAAUUCAGAUAAACUCCGAAUGCCAUGUACUUAUACUCGGGAGUCAGACUGCGAGUGAUAAGAUCCGUAGUCGAAAGGGAAACAGCCCAGACCACCAGUUAAGGUCCCCAAAUAUAUGUUAAGUGGAAAAGGAUGUGGGGUUGCUUAGACAACCAGGAUGUUGGCUUAGAAGCAGCCACCAUUGAAAGAGUGCGUAAUAGCUCACUGGUCGAGUGACCCCGCGCCGAAAAUGUACCGGGGCUAAACAUAUUA
rnacentral:rRNA from 1 species